AAAAACAACGCUAUCCUUAAGUUCAUCAAACCUCUUAUUAAUUUGACUAACCUCAUUUGAAAGUUGAUCAAUCUUGUCUCCUAGGUUAGAUGUAGAUUCUGAUAUUUUCUUGUAAAGGUCUGCUAGGGAUAACUGAGGUAGGCUGUUACCCGCUUCUUGGGUUGAUGUUUGAAGGGCUGGGGGCGUCUUGUUAGCCGUCUUAGAGCGAGUACUUGGGUACAUGAUGACUACGAAUAAAUCGAAGAAAAUGCAGUGAGAAGAGUGUAUCUGGUUAUUCGUAGUAAGAUCAGUUUUGAUGAAAUGAAGACAUUAAUAAUCCUAAUAAUCCAUACGCAAGUGCAGUAAUUCAAAUAUCAGGUACAUCCUUAUAGUCAUGAUAGUUGCGGCGACAUUGGCCAAGAGCACUCAGUUAAAGUACGUCCGUCCCCAUCGGUGGUCAAGCAGUGUAAUGUCAGUCUUCAUCUUUUCAAUAGCGUUCUAUUAGAUUUCAACAUUCCUCUUGUGUCCUUUUUAUGAUUAAAUGGACCAUCAUCUUUCACAGGAGAAAGCGUUGCCUCUUUUGCCACAAAGAAAUCUUGUUUUAACAGUAUAUCUGUAAUAUUCAUCAGACCUAUCCAUUUAACACUCAUUAACAAAUGAAACUAAUAUUAUUUAGGGUAAUGCCACAAGGCAGGGGGGGGGUUGAUGUCAGGAUCGAUUUGCUCCUGCAUCUACAAUUUUGUGAGAAAUCUGCUUCCUGAGGUUCCUUUUUUUUACCAUUUUUCUAUGGAUUUGCAAUUCUAUUUAGAGACAAGUUUUGCUCUUCAUUCUUGCAAAAUUUAGAGGUUGAAUUCCUGUACAAACAAAUA